rnacentral:misc_RNA from 1 species
GAAAUGCGAUAAGUAGUGUGAAUUGCAGAAUUCAGUGAAUCAUCGAAUCUUUGAACGCACAUUGCGCCCUUUGGUAUUCCUUAGGGCAUGUCUGUUCGAGCGUCAUUUAAACCCUUCAAGCUCAGCUUGGUGUUGGGUGACUGUCCGCCGCCCCCGGGCGUGGACUCGCCCCAAAUCCAUUGGCGGCCGGUACGUAGGCUUCGAGCGCAGCAGAAACGCGAACUCGAGCCCGCGGUGUCGGCUCCCAGAAGCCAUCUCUUUUAUUUUGACCUCGGAUCAGGUAGGGAUACCCGCUGAACUUAAGC